rnacentral:rRNA from 1 species
UACGUAGGGUGCAAGCGUUGUCCGGAAUUAUUGGGCGUAAAGAGCUCGUAGGCGGUUUGUCGCGUCUGCUGUGAAAACUCGGGGCUUAACCCCGGGCCUGCAGUGGGUACGGGCAGACUAGAGUGCGGUAGGGGAGACUGGAAUUCCUGGUGUAGCGGUGAAAUGCGCAGAUAUCAGGAGGAACACCGGUGGCGAAGGCAAUCCCCUGGGCCUGCACUGACGCUCAUGCACGAAAGCGUGGGGAGCAAACAGG